UUCGGUGCGUGCUCUGCUCGAUCUGUCCGGCCAUGGUGCCCCCGUCCUUGCAUGAGAGCGCCGCCAGAAAGCGAGGGGGACAAGCGGCCGAGGUGGCCAUGCGGGAUGUGCGAGCUCGUCUGCGGCUGCGCUGGUGCACUUCGCUAGAAACCCAAGGCCAGAGGCGUGCCCCGCGCGGUCAACGACGUGCACAUCCUCUGGGAAGAGCCCGUGGUGGAGCGGAGGCCGUGACGGCGAGGCGGCCCCACCUCCCUCCGGCGGCGCUCCUCCUGGACUAGGCCCAACCCCCGCACCAACAGCUCCACCUCCUAUCUCCUUCCCAACGGUCGACGCCCGGCACAGCCCGCCAUACUCUCCGAUUUGACGCCCGGCGAAGCCAGCCUCUCCCCGACCUCUGGACGGCGCUCCACGACGUACACGGCUCCUGGGCCCUCCCCUAUGACAUUGGAACUUCCAGUUGCGAUGUCCAUCUCCUUCUCAGGAUCCAGCUGCCACCUGCACGGCUGCACGUCAACUGUUCGACAAUUGACCCAACAGACAGGAGGUAACUUUCUGUUUUGUUUUUUUGUUCCUUUGGAGUUCCAUCUAGCACUAAUUUCAUGUGAAAGUCUUCAUUGAUAGACUGCUCAAGUUUUGUACAUUCCGAUUGAUUGUAUUAGCCUAGAGAAUAGAGAGAAAGGGGAGGAGAUGUUGUUGUUGGCGCGAUGCUGAACCAUUGAAGCAACAGGACGAUGAGCGUAUCAUGCAAGAGGAGAUUCUCGUCACUGUCCUGUGGCUCAGCGCCCAGUACGGCCACGUCCUUGCAUGCCUCUGCCUGGCUGAUCCGGCGCAAGAGGGGACGCGGUGGAGCCCGCGGUGUACGCCGGUGCACGCAUGGAGAAGGCGGUGAUGCCAGGUAGCCGGAGCGAGAUGUGAAGGCGGGCGCCGCGAAGGGGUCGACAGCGCCAAUAGGAAGGUAGGGGCGGAGGUGUUGGAUUCAUGGGCACCGAUGGCGAUGGUGGACACACGGAGCAGAUAUAAUGAAUUAGUGUAACUGAAGCUGCUGUAGGAGGCGGCGGCUGCCACUUUAGAGCGCGAUGGCAGUACACGGUGCAGUGGCGCACACAUGGAGUUCCUCCGGUUCUUGCGCCAGUUAGACAAGAUCAAGGUGUUUGCGUGCAGGCUGCCCCUCACUGCCGGCGCCGUGACCGUGCUCGCUGAAAACAGAUGUGGAAAGUCCCUGGACACUCUCGUGUGAUGCCUCUGCACUGCCUUUGAGGAGCACGGUGACUGCCCGAAGGACAACCCGUUCAGGGUGACCAUGCGGGAGACCUCGAUGGUGUAGUCCCUGCUGUUGGGGAGGACAGCCGAGGCACACCAGGUCAGGUCCACGAUGCCAAUGUACGCGGUGCAAGUGUGUGGUGUGCAGACAAACUGUGUGUGGUAUGUUUACUGAACUUGUGAUGACAGCUCUUUGGUUAGUACCUUCGUCCCUAGAUUUUCACUCUAAUCAUCAUUAUAUUUUGGACAGAGGAUGUGUUUGCGAAAUUGUUGUUGUUUUAUUUUUUAAGUUAUUCCAUUAAUUUUGCAUCACAUAUAUUAAUUUAUAUGGCUCCAGCAUAUAUGUUUAUCACCAGACUGAAAUUUGGUUCCAUCUAGAAAAGAAAGCAGGGACAAGAUGUACUUGGUGCAAGUGUGUGGUGCGCGGACAGACUGUGUGUGGCAUGUUUACUGAACUUGUGAUGACAGUUCUUCAGGUAGUACCUUCGUCCCUAGAUUUUCACUCUAAACAUCAUUAUAUUUUGGACAAAAGAUGUGUUUACGGCAUUGUUGUUGUUUUAUUUUUUGAAGCUAUGCCAUUAAUAUUGCAUCAUAGAUAUUAAUUUGUAGGGCUCUAGCAUAUAUGUUUAUCACCAGGCUGAAAUUUGUGGUUCAAUCUAGAAAAGAAAACAGGGACAAGUAUUGAACAGAGAGUAGAGAGGAGAACAACUAAGUCCAGGUACAGAAAAAGGAAUGCAGCUGCAACGACUAAUUUGAUCCAAGCUGGCUCCUUCCCAUGGCAAAGCUGUGAUGUGGGAUGGCGCCAUGGCAGUAGUGACCCAGCCCUAAGCCACGAUACAACUAGGGCACUCAAUAUGACCUCAGGUUUAAUCUUCUUCCUCAAUUCCACAGGUUACCACUGGUUAGUAUUUGCUGGUUAACAUAUGGAUUUUUUAAAAAAAAAUGGAUUCAUACCUUAGAUGGUUGGAAUUUGAAUGUGCUUAGCUAGAUUGAUCAUCUAUGUCGUACUAGAUUGGUCAGACCGCACACAGGCAUGUUUAUAGUCCUGAAGCAUGUUGCUUUCUUCAAGUGAUUGCGUUCAGAAUAGUGAAAUAAUAAUGUGUACUGCUGAAUAAAUGAAUAUGAGUAUAGUCCUAUUUGAUAUUUUAUCUCUCCAAGCUAUCGCAAGAGCUGCCACCUCUCUUAAGUUGAUUGAUGUAACCAGGUUAACAUUAUUAGCACACAAGCAGAAAACAUCUCUAAUAUGCACAUUCAUUGUAAAAAAAGCCGUCAAUAUGCCAACUUAUAAUAAAUGUUUGAUCUGCUGGUAUGGUAGUUGAGCUCAUGUAUAGGAGCAGAGGUCAUGGGACUGAAUAGAAGCGGAACUUAUUAAAAUUUACUAGCAAACUGCAUGUCAGUUAUCUGUCAGCAACAUGUAUUGGCCAAUUAGUUAGUCAAGCAUACUAGCAGGUAGCAGGGAAAGUGAAGGCUUAAUGCAGGUGACUAACAAAAUUUGGAAGUACUCACAUACAGUCCAGUUGUCCAAUUUUGGUAGAAGCCAAUGCACACUGGGUUUAUAAAUUUAAAAUUUCCUCAGUGAAUUAAUAAUGUGUACAAAUGAAUGUUGUCCAGUUUGACAUUUCAUAUAGGUGGUGAAGGUAUUUUGGAGGUAAUUGACAUAGUCCCAGUGAAGGGUGGGGGGCAUCACGGUGAUGAUGGACAGUGGAAUUGAGGCAGAUCCUUGGCAAGAUCGUAGGCAAUGGUGCGAUGUCAUGUUGUUGUGAAUGAUGUAGGGCAAGGAUGCAACAUAACAAGAUUUUGACCAGUGUUCAUGUCUCAUAACAAGAUUUUUUCUUCUUAUGUAUAAGUAUAUCAUGCAUGCACAUGGGAUAACUCCUAAUGCAACAUAACAGUUAAUUAUGCAAUUUCAUAGAGCUUUCCCAUGACAAAAUUGCCGCAAACAUGCAAACCGUAAACGUAUAUGCUCUGGAUGAGAAAAUUAACUAACCUUUGAAUAUGUUUUCUUUUUUCAAAAAUAAAAUUAGGUGCAAACAUUCAAACAUGUAUACUCUACAUGAAAAAAAUACACACUUAAGUGUUUUUUUCUUUUUGCCACCAACAUAGUCAUAUUUUGUGUACAGUGACCAAGGAAGAUCAUGUAAAAAACCAGACUGUUUUAGAAGAUUAAAUAAACUCACAAUGACAAAAAAAUGAAUAAGGGAUGACCUAAAAUAAUUCUUAGCCCCAGAUUUCAUCAAUUUAAAAUUGUAGCAGUUGGAUAGGGUUUCAAGCUACAUAAAUUUUGGUCAAAUGUCAUUAAAUGAAAUUUUAAUUAUAAAUCUGACUCUUAUUUUGUACAACUAUGGCUAGAAAACCGUUCAAAAAAAUAUAUGUUAGAAAAUCUACAUUACCGGUAGAAUUUUGGAAUUAAUUUUCAUGGAGGAUUAACACAUAAUAUACAUAUUGUAUAAGCUAUCAAUCAGUGUACAAAACACCGUGUGGCUUUUGUGACUAAUAUUGCUGCUAUUAACUAUUAGUAAUUUAGAUUGUAGGCUCCCGAGCAUGCAAGUUAAGUUGUGAAAUUAAGCUUUAGUAAUAUUGUAUCUAUUUAUAAUAUUAGUACUUUCUAUGCUGUCAAAUUAGUGAAUGUGUACCCGUUGCAACGCACGGGCAUGUUUGCUAGUAUUAGCUAAACCUGCUUCUGUUGUGUAGUUCGUCUAACCAAAUUUGUAGGGACAUAAAAACAUAGAUCGAUAUGCUAUAUUGUACUGACUACAAAAACAACAUCAGCAUGUCAGACUGUCAUGAUGAUUCAAUCCUCUCCCCAUUUCUUUUGAUUCAAUCCCCAGAAUCCUAUUGUUGUUUGUGCAUAUUAUCUAUGCCCGUCGCCCAUAUUUUUUAUUUUCAUGUUCAUUGAUAUGCAAUAUUGUACUGAUUACAAAAACAGCAUGAGCAUGUCAGUGGAGUAGUAUCAUCAUGAAACCUCGCCUUUUUCCUAUUCUGUUCGAUUACUUGCCCUGUUUCUGUGACAAAGGCCUGUGAUAGAUAUGAUUAGGCACAUAUUGAGCGUCCAGUUUCAUAAAUAUUGAGCAUACGGUUUCAAUUUCAACUUAAACAUACAAUCUGCUCUUUCUUCUUAAGAUAUAGAGGAGGGUAAUCAUAUAUUGUCUGUUUGGUAUUUGCCUGUAGUUAUAAUUUCAUAAAGGCUUGUGUUUGACCUUCUAUUAUAUCAGGACAUCUUGGUUCUAGAUUUCAUUCCAGAGAUGUGCUAAUAUUUUAUUUAGAUGGGUUGUUUUAGGAAAUGAGAAAAAUGCAUUCUCUGUUCUCCUUGUUUUUGUCAUCUUCAUUAUUUAUUGUUUGUUCAUACGUGUAAAAAAUUGUACCUCAUACCUCAAGAAUCACCGUGAGUUGCUUCCCUUUUUCUGUUUCCAAGUCAUCUUUGCAACUUUAGGUGGUGCAUGGGCACACGUUUUUUGGACAAGUGCAUGAGAGAAAAGUUACAUGUAGAUAAGUUACAAAUCUGCCAUGAAUUCUGUUGUCCUUGCAGACCUACAUCAGGAAACUUUUGGUUACGUAUAUGCUUAUUGUUUGUUCAGUUUCCAUACUUCAGUUGCAUUGGUUAGGUCAGUCCAUGUGUGUAGGUCUGGAUAGCAUGAGCUUCUGUUGAGGGUACUUUGAUCAGGUGGCACUGCAAAUCUCAAAUCACCACAAGUUUGUUCUUCACCUGUAGUCACAGUCACCUGGCCAGAACUUGAAAAUUAAACCAGAGAGUAGUACUUUCUUAGGGAGCUAGCAAAAUUAUGUAUAAAAGGAGAUUUCUGAGAUUUUAGUCCUAAACAAUUUAAAGGUAUUUUGUCUUUUAGGUUUCUCUAUAUCUGCUGCAAGGCUUGGAUUGCCAUAUAAGCCGAAUUCGGCAAGUAAGAAAGAAGAGUUAUUCAUUGAUAGUGUCACGGUUUGAUCCAGCUGGCUGGCAAGCUCCUCUGCCCUCCCUGAGCCCGGUGAUGAUUUCCACAGUCAGCCCUCCCCACACGAUGGUGGGCGAAGAAGGUGCACGUCUCCGACGAGUUUGCCGUGCCUCCCUCUAGUUCGGUGCUGGUCGAUGGUGAGGUUGAUGAUGGAGUCGUGAUCUAAAGUUGGAGUGUGCCCUUUUGUCGGUGUCGUCAUUCUCUCCUUGACAACCGUCGUUGUCAGGAGCCCAAGUAGCUUGGUUGGGUAUCGAAGGCGCUGGUGGACCUAAUAGGUCCUUCUCUUUCUCUCAUAAAAAAGCCCGAGUGCAGAUCAGUCAAAACGACUACCUCAAACUGAAAGCACGACGGAGAUUUUCCAAAAACCCAAUGAAAUUGGAUGCUUCAAAGGAUUUGAGUGGAGUUUAUUAUAGGUUCGAUUAUUUCUUGGCUUAGAGCAGCGGCGCAAGUAGAGAGAGAUGCCAAGGUUACUCAUGUGUCAUGAUAGAUAGCUGUGCAGGAGCAGCUCGGGGACGAACCCAAGGUCUAAAAUGCUGAAUCUCCCAAUAAAGUGACACUGUAUAUCUUAGAUGCAGGAUGACAAAGUUGUGAACUAAGCAGCAAAAGGACGGCAAGAGCCCGAUGGCAUCGUAGCUAUCGCCCCCUUCAGCGUCCAGGAACCAUGCAAAACGCCACUGUCAAUGUGAGCGGCGAGGAGCGAAUGGGCGGCUACAUCAUGCACCAUGGCAUGACGAUCAGAUCGGCGAUGUGAUCGUUGCACUGGUUAAUGCCAACGAUCAGUUCAUUUUUGUCGAUUGUCAUGUGGGAUUCUAUGUCCAUCUUUUUCUGGAAUUCUGUUUUUUUGAUUCAAAAUAUUUAAGAACUUGUGAAAUUUGGUAUCUUUUGUAAGCAAAUGUCAGUGUCAAAACGUCUUUUGUAUAUUUCAAUUAAUUAUCAGCAGG